rnacentral:misc_RNA from 1 species
CGUCGGCAGCGUCAGAUGUGUAUAAGAGACAGGUGAAUCAUCGAAUCUUUGAACGCAACUUGCGCCUCUUUGAGGCAUGUCUGUUUGAGUGCCGCAUACAUCUAUGCAGCAAUGCGAUUUGACUGUUGUCUCCGGACUCGGUCUAAACGUAGCCAGAUAGUGGCCUAUGUAGGCUAGCCCGAGUGCUAAGCAUUCUCUGAGCUAGUCUAGGUGGGUUGCCCCAAUCUAUCAUCAUCUAUCUAUUUGGCCUCAAAUCAGGCAAGACUACCCGCUGAACUUAAGCAUAUCAAUAAGCGGAGG